GGAGAAAGGAAAGGCCUAACCUCUGAUUAUAAAGCAUUGAAAUUAAUAGAAACUUUGUAAUUGGACACCAAGACGAUGUGCAAAGGGAGGUUCGAUUCCUCCCUUCUCCACCA
rnacentral:tRNA from 1 species